rnacentral:rRNA from 1 species
GUAAGGAAUAUUGGACAAUGGACGCAAGUCUGAUCCAGCCAUGCCGCGUGAAGGAUUAAGGUCCUCUGGAUUGUAAACUUCUUUUAUAAGGGACGAAAAAAGGCUUUUCUAAGUCGUCUGACGGUACCUUAUGAAUAAGCACCGGCUAACUCCGUGCCAGCAGCCGCGGUAAUACGGAGGGUGCAAGCGUUAUCCGGAUUCACUGGGUUUAAAGGGUGCGUAGGCGGGCAGGUAAGUCAGUGGUGAAAUCCUAGAGCUUAACUCUAGAACUGCCAGUGAUACUAUCUGUCUUGAAUAUUGUGGAGGUAAGCGGAAUAUGUCAUGUAGCGGUGAAAUGCUUAGAUAUGACAUAGAACACCUAUUGCGAAGGCAGCUUACUACGCAUAUAUUGACGCUGAGGCACGAAAGCGUGGGGAUCAAACAGGAUUAGAAACCCGGGUAGUCC